rnacentral:rRNA from 1 species
ACGCCGCGUGACGAUGAANGCCUUCGGGUCGUAAAGUUCUGUUGUUAGNNNNNANNAAGUACCAGAGUAACUGCUGGUACCUUGACGGUACCUAACCAGAAAGCCACGGCUAACUACGUGCCAGCAGCCGCGGUAAUACGUAGGUGGCAAGCGUUGUCCGGAAUUAUUGGGCGUAAAGCGCGCGCAGGUGGUUUCUUAAGUCUGAUGUGAAAGCCCACGGCUCAACCGUGGAGGGUCAUUGGAAACUGGGGAACUUGAGUGCAGAAGAGGAAAGUGGAAUUCCAAGUGUAGCGGUGAAAUGCGUAGAGAUUUGGAGGAACACCAGUGGCGAAGGCGACUUUCUGGUCUGUAACUGACACUGAGGCGCGAAAGCGUGGGGAGCGAACAGGAUUAGAUACCCUGGUAGUCCACGCCGUAAANGAUGAGUGCUAAGUGUUAGAGGGUUUCCGCCCUUUAGUGCUGCAGCAAACGCAUUAAGCACUCCGNCUGGGGAGUACGGUCGCAAGACUGAAAACUCAAAGGAAUUGACGGGGGCCCCGCACAAGCGGNGGAGCAUGUGGUUUAAUUCNAANCAACGCGAAGAACCUUACCAGGGUCUUGACAUCCCCACUUGCCCGGUAUANAGAUAUACCUUUUCCCUUUCGGGGANNUGGUGGACAGGUGGUGCAUGNNUUGNCGUCAGNCUCGUUGUCGUGAGAUGUUGNGNUUAAGUCCCCGCAACGAGCCGCCAACCCCUUGAUUCUU